rnacentral:lncRNA from 1 species
CUGGAUUGCUGAAGCGCCUGGGCCAACAGUUGGGUCUGCAAUGGGUUGGUACCCCCCUGACCAGGCCACCUGGAAGCUGUCGGUCAGUUGAACAACAAACACUUAAUGACUGACCCUACUGCUGACUCUGCGUUGGCAGCCUCCGCCCCUUUCUCCAUUUCUAGCUGAUGCUAUUUGAGGCCUAUGAGGGAUGAGAGCUUGGUGCGCAUUUGCCUGUGAAGCCUGGCACCUGAACUCAGCACUCUGCAACCCACAAUUACAACUGCUUUAAAGACAACCACCUCCUUCUGGCCCCCACCAUCAUGGCGCAGCAGAAAAGCAUGAUGCGCUGGGAGUAAGAUAUAGACACGGUGCGGUGGACGUGGAGGUGUGCUGCCCAGAUGUCCCUCCCGGGAAGGACUGGUGGUCCCAGUUCUGGGAGUGCUGUCAGCAGGUGCUUGUCAACUGUCAGCCCUUCGAGGCCUCCGUCAGCUGCAGAGGGCCGUCUCCCCCGGGGGGGCCGUGUCCGCAUCCAAUGACCGAUUGAGGCAAGUGUAUAAAAGCCCAGCUAUUCGGCCCAGUGCCGGACAACUCAGACGGGCUUCCCAGUCCUGCCUCCUGUCCCUUCCUUCCACAGGUGCUAAUCCUAAGGGCAUUCCCUAAUAAACACCCAAAGCCUUAAUUCCCUUUCGGAGGCUGCUUUCUGGAGAGCGCAACCUGCCACAAAUGAGUAUGAAUUUCAGAUCAACUACUUAGGAACGCUGUGACUUUGGGGAAACCAUGACCUAUUUCCUGUAAGACUCAAUUUCCUUAUCUGCAAAAUGGGAAUAAUGGUAACUUCUUCAUAGGAUCAUGCCAAGAGAAGAACGCCUUUCUGGGAAGAGACAGGCAGGGGCAGCAAUCGUGACUUCCGUGAGUCCCAGAAAAAAGCCACGCUCCGCCACUGCUUGAAGCUGUGUCAUAACCAGGGACUGGAACAGAAUUAGCUAGAGCCGGAAGACAGAGCCAAUGAGAGAUCUCCCAGAUACAGUGUUUGAGUAAUUACAGCUGGAAACUGAAUGCUUACUACUGCUAAUGAAUCAUCCUUGAACAAAGGAGGUAAUUGGUCCAAUAUGG